UGGGGAAUAUUGCACAAUGGCGGAAACCCUGAUGCAGCGACGCCGCGUGAACGAAGAAGGUAUUCGUAUCGUAAAGUUCUGUCCUAUGGGAAGAUAAUGACAGUACCAUAGAAGAAAGCUCCGGCUAAAUACGUGCCAGCAGCCGCGGUAAUACGUAUGGAGCGAGCGUUGUCCGGAAUUAUUGGGCGUAAAGGGUACGCAGGCGGUUUAAUAAGUCGAAUGUUAAAGAUCGGGGCUCAACCCCGUAAAGCAUUGGAAACUGAUAAACUUGAGUAGUGGAGAGGAAAGUGGAAUUCCUAGUGUAGUGGUGAAAUACGUAGAUAUUAGGAGGAAUACCAGUAGCGAAGGCGACUUUCUGGACACAAACUGACGCUGAGGUACGAAAGCGUGGGGAGCAAACAGG
rnacentral:rRNA from 1 species